CAGUCGCCGCGGUAAUACGUAGGUGGCAAGCGUUGUCCGGAAUUAUUGGGCGUAAAGGGCUCGCAGGCGGUUUCUUAAGUCUGAUGUGAAAGCCCCCGGCUCAACCGGGGAGGGUCAUUGGAAACUGGGAAACUUGAGUGCAGAAGAGGAGAGUGGAAAUCCACGUGUAGCGGUGAAAUGCGUAGAGAUGUGGAGGAACACCAGUGGCGAAGGCGACUCUCUGGUCUGUAACUGACGCUGAGGAGCGAAAGCGUGGGGAGCGAACAGGAUUAGAUACCCGUGUAGUCCCUGUCUCUUAUAC
rnacentral:rRNA from 1 species